rnacentral:rRNA from 1 species
AUCCUGGCUCAGGAUGAACGCUAGCGACAGGCUUAACACAUGCAAGUCAAGGGGCAGCGGGGUUGUAGCAAUACAACUGCCGGCGACCGGCGCACGGGUGAGUAACACGUAUGUAACCUGCCCUCUGCAGGGGGAUAAGCGGAAGAAAUUCCGUCUAAUACCGCAUAAUACAAUUUGGAGACAUCUCCGGGUUGUCAAAGGAGUGAUCCGGCAGAGGAUGGACAUGCGGCGCAUUAGCUAGUCGGCGGGGUAACGGCCCACCGAGGCUACGAUGCGUAGGGGUUCUGAGAGGAAGGUCCCCCACACUGGUACUGAGACACGGACCAGACUCCUACGGGAGGCAGCAGUGAGGAAUAUUGGUCAAUGGGCGGAAGCCUGAACCAGCCAAGUCGCGUGAGGGAAGACGGUCCUAUGGAUUGUAAACCUCUUUUGCAGGGGAGCAAGGCGCGGUACGUGUACCGCGAAGGAGAGUACCCUGAGAAAAAGCAUCGGCUAACUCCGUGCCAGCAGCCGCGGUAAUACGGAGGAUGCGAGCGUUAUCCGGAUUUAUUGGGUUUAAAGGGUGCGCAGGCGGACUGUUAAGUCAGCGGUAAAAUGUCGGUGCUCAACACCGGCCGGCCGUUGAAACUGGCAGCCUUGAGUGAGCGAGAAGUAUGCGGAAUGCGUGGUGUAGCGGUGAAAUGCAUAGAUAUCACGCAGAACUCCGAUUGCGAAGGCAGCAUACCGGCGCUCAACUGACGCUCAGGCACGAAAGCGUGGGUAUCGAACAGGCUUAGAUACCCUGGUAGUCCACGCAGUAAACGAUG